UCCACGAGUGGAGGGCUGAAUGUACCCGGAGAAUAAGGAUCGGCUAACUCCGUGCCAGCAGCCGCGGUAAUACGGAGGAUCCGAGCUUUAUCCGGAUUUAUUGGGUUUAAAGGGUGCGUAGGCGGCACUUUAAGUCAGGGGUGAAAGACGGCAGCUCAACUGUCGCAGUGCCCUUGAUACUGAAGUGCUUGAAUGCGGUUGAAGACGGCGGAAUGAGACAAGUAGCGGUGAAAUGCAUAGAUAGGUCUCCGAACACCGAUUGCGAAGGCAGCUGUCUAAGCCGUUAUUGACGCUGAUGCACGAAAGCGUGG
rnacentral:rRNA from 1 species